rnacentral:snRNA from 1 species
UUGCUUCAGCAGCACAUACACUAAAAUUUGAAUGCUACAGAGAUUAGCAUGACCUCUGCCCGAAGGAUGGCAUGCAAAUUAUUGAAGUGUUUCAUAUCUUU